rnacentral:tRNA from 1 species
UCGGAGUGUGGCGCAGUCUGGUAGCGCACUUGCAUGGGGUGCAAGGGGUCGAAGGUUCGAAUCCUUUCACUCCGACCAA